rnacentral:rRNA from 1 species
AUUGAACGCUGGCGGCAGGCCUAACACAUGCAAGUCGAACGGUAACAGGAAGAGGCUUUCUUCUUUGCUGAGGCGUGUCGGGCGGGUGUGAGAUGUCCAUCGAACUGCCUUAUUGAGGGGGAUAACUACUGGAAACGGUAGCUAAUACCGCAUAUCGUCGCAACGCCAGAGAGCAGGAGCUUCUGGCCUCUUGCCCUCGGAUGUGCCCAGAUGGGAUUAGCUAGUAGGUGGGGUAACGGCUCACCCAGGCGACGAUCCCUAGCUGGUCUGAGAGGAUGACCAGCCACACUGGAACUGAGACACGGUCCAGACUCCUACGGGAGGCAGCAGUGGGGAAUAUUGGACAAUGGGCGCAAGCCUGAUGCAGCCAUGCCGCGUGUAUGAAGAAGGCCUUCGGGUUGUAAAGUACUUUUAGCGGGGAAGAAGGGAGUAAGGUUAAUACCUUUACUCAUUGACGUUACCCGAAGAAUAAGCACCGGCUAACUCCGUG